rnacentral:rRNA from 1 species
CAGCGCCACGAGUGGGGAUCGCUUUUAUUGGGUCUAAAGCGUUCGUAGCCGGUUUUCUAAGUCCUUUGUGAAAUCUGGCAGCCUAACUGUCAGGCGUGCAGAGGAAACUAGGAGACUAGGGAACGGGAUGAGCUAGGGGAACUCUAGGGGUAAGGGUGAAAUCUAAUAAUCCUUAGGGGACCACCAGUGGCGAAAGCGCCUAGCUAAAACGUAUCCGACGGUGAGGGACGAAAGCCAGGGGAGCAAACGGGAUUAGAUACCCGAGUAGUCC